CCUCACUCCCGUGGCAGCAGCCGCGGUAAGACGGAGGAUCCGAUCGUUAUCCAGAAAUAUUUGGGUUUAAAGGGUUCGUAGGCGGCUUUGUAAGUCAGUGGUGAAAUUUCCUAGCUUAACUAGGACACUGCCAUUGAUACUGCAGAGCUUGAAUAAUAUGGAAGUAACUAGAAUAUGUAGUGUAGCGGUGAAAUGCUUAGAUAUUACAUGGAAUACCAAUUGCGAAGGCAGGUUACUACGUAUUUAUUGACGCUGAUGAACGAAAGCGUGGGGAGCGAACAGGAUUAGAUACCCUGGUAGUCCACGCCGUAAACGAUGGAUACUAGCUGUUCGGUUUUCGGUCUGAGUGGCUAAGCGAAAGUGAUAAGUAUCCCACCUGGGGAGUACGUUCGCAAGAAUGAAACUCAAAGGAAUUGACGGGGGCCCGCACAAGCGGUGGAGCAUGUGGUUUAAUUCGAUGAUACGCGAGGAACCUUACCAGGGCUUAAAUGUAGAUUGACAGAUUUGGAAACAGAUUUUUCUUCGGACAAUUUACAAGGUGCUGCAUGGUUGUCGUCAGCUCGUGCCGUGAGGUGUCAGGUUAAGUCCUAUAACGAGCGCAACCCCUAUUGUUAGUUACCAGCGCGUAGUGGCGGGGACUCUAGCAAGACUGCCGGUGCAAACCGUGAGGAAGGUGGGGAUGACGUCAAAUCAUCACGGCCCUUACGUCCUGGGCUACACACGUGCUACAAUGGCAAGUACAGAAAGCAGCUACCUGGCAACAGGAUGCGAAUCUCCAAAGCUUGUCUCAGUUCGGAUUGGAGUCUGCAACUCGACUCUAUGAAGCUGGAAUCGCUAGUAAUCGGAUAUCAGCCAUGAUCCGGUGAAUACGUUCCCGGGCCUUGUACACACCGCCCGUCAAGCCAUGGAAGCUGGGGGUACCUGAAGUCGGUGACCGCAAGGAGCUG
rnacentral:rRNA from 1 species